CAUACGUAGCUCAGUACUUAGCUGCUCUGAGCUGGAGCCGUGCGGUGCGUGUAUACAUAAAUCCACUGUUGGAAAUGUCAAGAUUUCCUGAUCUUUACGUGCGCCACUUAACUAUCAUUGAAAAUGUUGCAUUAAUAUUAUCUCACGAAAGCUUUACGAGAAUUAGGUAGUUUUGCCAAAAGUUCGUGUCGUUGUAUCCGGGCUCGGGGUGCAAAGAAAUUGAAGGUGGUGUGCGACGGCCAGGACCGCCAUGGCGGCUACGCCCGGUUAAACGUUUUUACGUCUUUGUGAGUUGUGGCGAGAAUAAUAAAAGCUUUGAAUGAGCUUUGCAAACGAGAAUUCCGAGGGGUUGGAACUUGGUAUAAAAAAUGUUUUGUGGCCUCAGCUGCGAUGGGUGACUUCGCUUUAUUUAUAAUUCACCGGAGGAACACGAGGAGAGUUACAUCGUACAAGUAUGUACAGCCGAAGGCAUAUUGACCAUCACAAAGGAGCGAGUAAUGGCUGAGGUUAAUUCCUGUUUGCACUGGCUACCACAAUCGCACACCCCUCGACACCGCAAACCCCUCACAAAAGCAUUAUACCGCAGGAGCCUCUCGGUGGAUCCUUCCUUCAUAGCUGAGCCAACGGAGCAUCGAAGCAAGCCAUCCUCGGUCCCAGCAGCACCUACGAGCUCCACUCGACUCUGUCUUUGACUUUACCGUACUAUCGAAUCGCUUCUCGAAAGUUAUCGACUGUGAAACAGCAUCUGUUCGACUCGAUCCUCAUGUUUAUGGAUUUUAUGGGAGCAGGAUUGAGCAAACGAAGAAGUCGAUUUUGCGUCAGCGAUUCGGCUUUUAUUUAGGGGAGAUUGAUCGCGUACGAAUCUCCCAAUUUAUUGUCGUCCAUCGACGCUUUUCCGCACCGAUUAAGCGACAUUUCAUCCGGCUCAACUUUUUUUUGGGCCCAUGUACCGUUCAGUCUGUUCGCUCAAACGUAUCAUUUCCUGUACGAUAUCCUCCCGUACAAUUUGUCAACGGACUUAUGUGAAUGCGAAAAUUAAUCGGUUUUCAAUCGAGAAUCUUACCCAGUGAGAGUCUCAAGUGCAUGUAUGAAGUAUACAGUAAUAAAAAUUGACGGUGGAUCGCCUGGGAGCGGAGAGA